rnacentral:lncRNA from 1 species
UCCUCUUCCUAUUACAGUCCCCCCCCCCUCUUCCCUGCUAUACUCCCGCGGCUAAAGUCAGACGUGACAGAUUCAAAACACAAGGGAGAAGACACCCUGCAACAAACCCAUCAUGUGGAACAGCUGGGCCUUCUUCUUCAUCGCCCUGGCUCUCGUCUGCGCCAUCGUGAAGACACUACUGGACGCCCUUAUGUACAAGCAAAUCAUGAUAAUCAGCACCACACUCAGGAGGCUGGGCAACUGCUACCCAAAUCUUGAGGAGGAGUUCUUGAAGAGCCCCAUAACUGAAAGCGGUUACCUCGUGCCUACCAAUCGCCGGAUUUCUACGAAUUAUGAGAACUAAGAAGGAACUGAGGACUUCUUCUCUGAUGGCUGUCCCUUGGUGAAUCUGUCAUCAUGAUGUUUCUGGUUCGUUUUGCUGAUUGUCAUGUGGUUGUUGACGGCAAAAAGGGGUAUGUUUGUGUGUGGAAAAA